UACGUAGGGGGCAAGCGUUGUCCGGAUUUAUUGGGCGUAAAGAGCGUGUAGGCGGUCAGGUAGGUCCGUUGUGAAAACUCGAGGCUCAACCUCGAGACGCCGAUGGAAACCAUCUGACUAGAGUCCGGAAGAGGAGAAUGGAAUUCCUGGUGUAGCGGUGAAAUGCGCAGAUAUCAGGAAGAACACCCGUGGCGAAGGCGGUUCUCUGGGACGGUACUGACGCUGAGACGCGAAAGCGUGGGGAGCGAACAGG
rnacentral:rRNA from 1 species